UUCAGUUAUGGACUUGUAGUUGUUAAAGUACGUGGUUAAGACGGAGGCAAGGUGUGCCUAUUGUAACUUGUACUUGUAGUAAGUUAAUGUGAGUUUAAUACACUGGUGAUCGAUCCAACUGCGUUUCCUUACCCAACAUCACACUAGGUAUCAACCACCACCUACACCGAU